rnacentral:pre_miRNA from 1 species
GUGCUGUGGACAUAAGUCACUGUCACGCGGCGCAAAGAGUGCUUCUCCGUCAAUUCUCUUGUGCGUGCGACAGCGACUGAUGUGUGCCGGCAAAA